ensembl:lncRNA
CUCAGAUAAGAUUAUUUCUUUCUGAAUUUUCCUUUAAAAUGCAAUUGCUUUCCCGACCAAAAGGUUCUAUACUAGAACAGGGUUCCAGGAAGUUCUUGUGUGUCAGCAGUGCCAACGUGUCUUCAGUGUGGCACGUCAGAAGACUGGCACAUAGGAAAUGAGUUCUUGUCAAAUGAGCAGGUUAUUACAAAAUGAAAGUGCUCAAUUUCACCAUAGGAUUUAUUUCACAAUAAUUUAUUUCGGAAACAACCUGAAGUGGUUAACACAAAAUUGUCACUUUUUCUCUUAGAUAAUCUUUUGAGCAAAGAGAAAACCAGACCAGAAUUUUGGAAGAACAUGUAGUGUUCUCAGUGACUGGUGCUAAUGAUGUAGAAUCAUCAGCACUUGUACACUUUUUUUUUUGUGCAAGUGUUGCUGCUGCCCCUCAGGACAGAGAAAUGUAUUGAGUCCCUGUUCCAUCUCAGUGAUUAGACUAAGGUAAAAGAAAGGAAGGAAACGGAUAUAUGUAGCUGGAAAAACACUGAAAGAAGUUAUAAAUGUGCUUCCAGCCUUCAUAUAUUUGCUGCUGCAGAUCCCUUUUCAGACACAGUGGCCUCAGCCCUGUAUCAGUCUCUACUCUUUACACACACACUCUGCCUGGGUGCAGCCAGAGCUACACACAGUGGGAAUACUGAGACAAUGUUACAGGUGCUUUCCUCCCUGAAUGAGGAAAACAAGAGCGGUAAACCACCACUAGAACUAAGUUCCACAUCCCCCCUCUUGAACUUCUUCGCACACAAACUUCUGAAGCAGCACUUGAAACUUCCCAGUGUUGGAAUUGAUCUUCCUGUCUCUCUGUUAAAGCAUGCCCUGCUGAGAACAUUUCCAGUCACCACAGGCAGGACCAGCUGGGCUGCACUGGUGACCUGCUGUGCACCCAAACACUUCAGCACUUCAUUUUCUGGAUUCAGCUUUGCAGAGAACACUGUGGUGUCACUAGACAGCCAUAAACCUGUGUUAAUGGUGUUCCAGGGCAGUAAAUAUGGGCAAUGAAGGCCCUUUCCCAAAGUUUAGAAUGUCAUGUAGAUGAGUUUGAUCAUCCCACUUAUCAGAAGAUCACACUGAAUAUGUGCUUAGGCCAUGCCACUUCAAAUACUUCUCUUUAAUGCUAUGCAGAUCUUGAGAACAUAACAUAUUAAAGCUUGGAUAGGCAGGAUGGGGGGUGAAACUAUAGGAAAUACACAUUGUUUCGUGCCUAAUGGUCCAUUCUACACCAUAUUUCCUUCAGGACAACUAUAGUUUAAUUUUGUCCUCUUCCAGAGUUAGCCUCCUUCCACAGAUUGUGGUGUACCAGGAUCUUGGUAGAUCUCUUUCCCAUGUAAUUCUUGGGAAAUCACAUGAGAGCUCAGUUUGUAAAGAGCAGCAUCAGCAAGGACAAAUGCCAGUGUUUUAAAUACACAUUGCAGAUGUUGAAAGUAAUUAGUAAAGACAUGUCCAUGAAGUUACUGAAAACUAUUCAGGGUUAGUGGUGGGAAAUAUAUUAUAUUUAUCUCAUGUCUAAAGAAAUGUGCAUUGCUGAGAAGCUGCGGGAGGUUUGGGACACCUCUUCUCGGCAGUGCAGCCCCUACACAUCUCAGACAAGUUCUGCUUUUGAGAAUAACACACAUCUGUUUGGUCAAUCCUGGCUUCCUUCUUAAAAGGGAACUUUGCUUCCAGUAAGAGGAAAGGAUGACUGUUACUGGUGGAAAGAUGCAAAAUGUCUCUUAUACUGAAGAAUAUUUGUAGGCUUUUCUUAUUGCUUCUUCAUUGCCAUAAGUAGCAUCUUGAAAAGGAGGGCUUGUAUGUGCUUGUAAAUGCAAAAGGAACAAUUCUGUUUCUCUGAGACUACUAUAAAUCAAAUAUAAUCUUCAUUUCCUGUAGUGUGUCACUGAAAAUGAGACUUGGGCAUUUUUUUGCGGCAAGGGAAAAUACUUAUCUGUUGCAGAUUUUCUUGUAAAGCAGCUUGUAUCUGUAAAUCCUGGUGCAUGCACAGAUAACGGCUUCCUGUUUGUAGCCUGCCCAGGCUCCAGCUCUGAGCUGCAGGUCUCAUCAGUGACACCAGCUUUAACUGGUCUGACAUCUCUGAUUCCUGAUGCAACGUCUGCAAAAAUGAGGAAAUUUGAGAAGUUAGAAUGGUUCUCCCUCUUGGUGAUUCCAUAGAUAAAGCCCUACACAAAUAGCAUUUUGAUCAAAUCAGUGGGAACUUCACCCUUAAAUUUGGAUGUGUUUCAGCACAUCUAAAUCCUAGAAAUUAACCCAGGGAAUAUCUAAAUUACUUCAUCUGACAUUUCCACUAGCUAUAUUCAAAGUAUUUUUUUCUCUGGUAAUCCUGUAAAAGAGGAUAUCACCCACAGUGUGUAGCAGCUUUAUUUCUAGAAGGUUUGGAUCUGGAGCCAUGUACUGUCACUUGGCAAAGCAUACACAAAUACUUUGAAUCAAACACUGAAAUCUUAUGGAAAUGAAAAGGAUUUAUGUAUAUGAUUAAGUUGUUUAAUCAGCCCUUGGGCAAUUUUAUCACCAGAGAGAUCUGGGAGUGAUGAUGCUCCCAAAUGCUCAAGAUGCUCAGUGCCUUACAGUAGUGAGUCAAUAUCUCCAUGAAUUGCUUUCAUAGUGCAGCCAUUAACUACAGCAAUCACACAGAAUUUUAGGCUCAAACCUAAUCCAUCUAUGUGAGGAAAAAGACUGCACUGAAAGAAAAUUGAGUUAAAAGGGAUCUCACAACUGAGAAAUAAAAACAGUUGUAACCAGCAUAUCUUAAGGAAAGUAAUGCCAAGGAAUGCAGUUGGUUUAUCUAUUAAAACUCAAUUUAGGUUUCAGUUUAUGGCUGUAUUUAUUUUAUUAUAAUCAGUAUCAUAAUUUUCUCUGGAAGAGAACUGGAACAAAAGAACGUAAUGUCUUUUGCUGAAUGUAUGAGGUAUUUCUGACUUACUAAGAUGUGACUACACAAAGUUAAGAUUUGAAUUCAAGGAAGCACUUUUGUGCUUUUGAUAAUGUAAACCUUGAUGUGUCAGGAACUUUAAGAAAAGGCAUUGGAACUUCCAAGGGAAAAACGAAACAAAAUUAUUGAAAAAAUAAUUAUGCUGGGAAUGAAUGAUUCACAGUCAGACUGCUGUUCACAGCAUGAACACUUCUACACUAUUUAACCAGUGUUCUUCAGUACAAGCACUUCUUCUGUUUGCACCUCUGCUAAUAUUGCUGUGAGAAAUAAAAACCAUGCAGCAUGUGUUUGGGGUGGCUGCAUUUGCUGUAGGUGUCUGCAGUGCAGCAUUUCUCAGUCAAGCACCCCAAUCAAUUCCAGUUCUGUUGCCUGGCAUUCCUGUGAACUGCAGUUUCAUAACGAGUCUCAUAACAUGUUUCAAAGACAACAAAAGUACAUUUUCAUCAAGUGAAUAAUGCACUGUAACACUCAUUGUCACAGGACGCUCUUUAAUAACAGAAGUUGGGAUGGGUUCAAAAAGCAAGAAGAAAAAUUCAUGGAAGAGAGAACUAUCAAGAUAAAACUUCUGUCUCAGGAAGCUGCUGAGCUCCAGAUUGCCGGGAUCUGGGAGGAUACACAGGCAUGGUGCUACUUUUAUCUUUUCCUAAGCAUCUGCUCCCGGGCACUGCAGAGGCAGGGCUUUGGCUGGGACUGACCUCUGCUCUUACCCCAAGUGCCCUUCCUUACAUCACUUUCUGGCCAAUGGGACUUCUUUGGAAGGGUUGUGGCUUCCCUGAACAUUUUGUGUGACAAUUGGUCAGCGAUCUGAUUCAGCCA